UGACUUUGGAACACAAUUUGGUAUCAGUAUUUGCAGAGUCGAAAAGGAGGAAGGAAGAAGAGGGAGAGACUGCGGGUGGGGCAUUGGGAUUGGACAUUGGAGAGAGAAGAUGGGGAAGGUUGCUUUGCUUCCAUUUGUAGGGAUGAUGAUGACGGAGUGUGCGCAAGCUGGGCUUAUCAUAAUAAGCAAAGUGGUCAUGUCCAAAGGGAUGAACAACCUCAUCUUCAUCUUCUACUCCAACUUACUUGCCUCUCCUAUCCUCCUCCUUUUUUCCUUCCUCUUCCACAGAUCAGAGAGACCUCAACUCACUCCCUCCAUCCAUGCUGGCUUUUUCUUGCUUGGUGUACUUGGCUUCUUUGCUCAGUUCUUUGGAUAUACUGGGAUUAAUUAUAGCUCUCCAACUCUUGGCACUGCAAUGCUCAACCUUGUCCCAGCUUUUACCUUCAUAUUUGCAAUUACUCUAAGAAUGGAAAUAUUCAAUUGGAGAAGCUCCAGUACCCUAGCUAAGUCCGUAGGAACCAUAGUUUCAAUUACAGGGGCACUCAUUGUGACCCUCUACAAGGGGCCCUCACUUCUUAUGACAUCCCCAUCGUUUGACUUGUCUCAUGCACAAUUACUUGCGCAACAGCCUAACUGGAUCGUUGGAGGAUUGUUUCUUGUAGUGGAUUGCAUUAUGUCUUCAUCUUGGACCAUUGUAGAGGCAAAGAUCCUCAGGAAAUACCCAGCCGGACUGAUUGUGGUCUUUUUUUACUGCUUCUAUGCUGCUGUUCUUUCUGGAGCAGUCUCUUUGAUUGUGGAAAGAGAUCCAAGUGCUUGGAGCUUGAAACCUAACAUCAGGUUGCUUGCUGUUCUAUACUCGGCAGUUUUUGGCUCUGCCUUCCAAGUUGGUGUAUCUACAUGGUGCCUAAGCAGGACAGAUCCUGUUUUUGUAGCUAUGUUCAAGCCUGUGGGGAUUGUCGUUACAGUUAUUGUUGGUGUUAUCUUCAUGGGGGAGACUCUCUACUUUGGAAGCAAAAUGGCAAAAGGAUACGUAUAUCAGUAUUAUUAUUUUCUGAUGCAUAUUGAUUGGAGCAAUUAUAAUUGUCGCUGGGUUUUACUCUGUGAUGUGGGGAAAAGCCAAAGAAGCAAAGAUUGAUGAAGAUGUCGGAAUAAGUAGCUUGGAAUCAAAUAGGCAGCAGGCACCUCUCCUGCAAAAUAGUAUUGAAAGCUAGAAGCUUUAUAUGGGUCUUAAACAUGGAGAGCAUGACCAAAGAUGUAAGCAAGAAUUGAGAGUUGAGUUUUACGGGGUCAAAAACCACCAAAAGUUUAUGUAUUAAGGAGCUGGAGCUUCUUCAUAUGCCACUUUACAAUGUGCUUUACUUCUGAUUCAAAAGGUAUAAAUAAUAAUGUAAUUUUAUGACAUAUUCCUUAUCAUUGGAUAAAUGAAAAUCACCAUAUUCUUGGCUACUAUGCCAUACCAUAGCUUUUCUCUUUAUCAAUGGUGGAAAAGAAGUUGUUGAGUUCACAGUUGGAAAUCUGAAAUUUAGACUAGGUACAAGCUUUAUGGUCUACCAUCCAGGCAUCCACAUUCUAUUUAUUUAUUUGUCAGUGGUGUGGGGAGAGUCUUUCCAGUUUUAAGGGGAUCAAGUUUUUGAUAAAAUGCAGAAUUCACUGUAUAACUGUCGAGUAUAUAUAUUGACAUUUUCCACCGUUGAAAUUAAAUCAUUAUAAAAAAGGAUUUCUUAUUCUU